rnacentral:misc_RNA from 1 species
CUUCUGCCUUAUUAUCCCACGAGCACUUCCUCUUCCUGCUCUUUUCUUCUCCUAUACCCAUUUGCUAGUGCCACUUCCACUUGCCCUUCCCAGUUUUUCUCCUCUCUUUUGGUCUUACUUGCUGCUGGCUGAGCCAGUCAUGGAGGAGGAGGAGGAGCAGCAGAAGCACGAGCAGGCUAGUGCUUGUGAUUCUAAUGGCACUUCCAUUCAUGUCUUGGCUGUUGAUGACUGCUUCGUUGACCGGAAAAUUGUUGGGAAGCUCCUUGAAAAAGCGUCGUUUAAAGUUACUAGUGCUGAUAGUGGAAAGAUGGCAUUGGAGGUUCUUGGAAUUAGUCAAGACAAAGUGGAGAAAUCUAGUUAUAAUGACCAAAAGAUUGACAUAAUCCUUACUGACUAUUGUAUGCCUGAGAUGAAUGGAUAUGAUCUUCUUAUGGCUGUGAAGGGGAAUAGCAAUGUGAAGUCCAUUCCCGUUGUGAUAAUAUCAUCUGAAUAUGAUCCACAGAGAAUCAGCAGGUGUCUUGCAAAUGGUGCUGAAGAUUUCCUACGGAAACCACUUCAACACAAAGACCUGCAGAAGUUGAGAAGCUAUGUUAAGCCUUCAGCACCUGUAACCAAGACAGGGACAAAAAGAAAAGUCAUACUGGACUUGAUACCGGAAAGUGGUACAGCAGAAACGCGACCUCGCAUUGCUGGAGUUGCAGUGGCUUAACCCUCCAUCGGUGUGACCCUCUCUCCCCUGUCUUCUCUUUCCCCCGACG